rnacentral:rRNA from 1 species
GAGUUUGAUCAUGGCUCAGAUUGAACGCUAGCGGGAUGCUUUACACAUGCAAGUCGAACGGCAGCGCGGACUUCGGUCUGGCGGCGAGUGGCGAACGGGUGAGUAAUGUAUCGGAACGUGCCCAGUAGCGGGGGAUAACUACUCGAAAGAGUAGCUAAUACCGCAUACGCCCUACGGGGGAAAGGGGGGGAUCUUAGGACCUCUCACUAUUGGAGCGGCCGAUAUCGGAUUGGCUAGUUGGUGAGGUAAAGGCUCACCAAGGCUGCGAUCCGUAGCUGGUUUGAGAGGACGACCAGCCACACUGGGACUGAGACACGGCCCAGACUCCCACGGGAGGCAGCAGUGGGGAAUUUUGGACAAUGGGGGCAACCCUGAUCCAGCCAUCCCGCGUGUGCGAUGAAGGCCUUCGGGUUGCAAAGCACUUUUGGCAGGAAAGAAAUUGCACGGGUUAAUACCCUGUGAGGAUGACGGUACCUGCAGAAUAAGCACCGGCUAACUACGUGCCAGCAGCCGCGGUAAUACGUAGGGUGCAAGCGUUAAUCGGAAUUACUGGGCGUAAAGCGUGCGCA